rnacentral:rRNA from 1 species
GACGAACGCUGGCGGCGUGCCUAAUACAUGCAAGUAGAACGCUGAAGGAGGAGCUUGCUUCUCCGGAUGAGUUGCGAACGGGUGAGUAACGCGUAGGUAACCUGCCUGGUAGCGGGGGAUAACUAUUGGAAACGAUAGCUAAUACCGCAUAAGAGUAGAUGUUGCAUGACAUUUGCUUAAAAGGUGCAAUUGCAUCACUACCAGAUGGACCUGCGUUGUAUUAGCUAGUUGGUGGGGUAACGGCUCACCAAGGCGACGAUACAUAGCCGACCUGAGAGGGUGAUCGGCCACACUGGGACUGAGACACGGCCCAGACUCCUACGGGAGGCAGCAGUAGGGAAUCUUCGGCAAUGGACGGAAGUCUGACCGAGCAACGCCGCGUGAGUGAAGAAGGUUUUCGGAUCGUAAAGCUCUGUUGUAAGAGAAGAACGAGUGUGAGAGUGGAAAGUUCACACUGUGACGGAUUCUACCAGAAAAGGACGGUA